rnacentral:sRNA from 2 species
GGACCGCGAUCGCCGAAUCCCCGAGGCAGCGGCCGAGGGGGACCGGGGACCCACGUCCCAUUGGGGUGAAUCGGACGGCCUCGCAAGAGGCGGUCCGUAGGAGACCUUCCUGCUCCGAACCCGUCAGCUAACCCGGUAGGCGAGAAGGAAGGAAAG